AAUUCCCCGAACCCGGCCGGGCAGGCCCGGGGCGAGAGACGCGCGCUCGCCCGCUUCUCCUAAAAGGAGUCCGGCAGCAGGGGCGCAGUCCGAUUUCCGCAGUGCCCGUCCCCCCACGGUAUCUCGUGGGCUUCCUUUCGCUGCACGACUGUGACAACGCCUUCAAAACCAGACCGAAUCGCAGAAAUGCCAGACUGCAGAGCAGCUCGCGUGCACAGGACGGCGGGACGUGUUCUCCAAGGCCUACAGCGGCUUGGGGCCUGCCUUCCAAAGUGGGAAUGCCUGGAUUUUAUAAUCGGUUUUAAUGCCUUUCCGGCGUGUAUGACGUGUUUGGCGAGUACGUAAGAAAUAAUCUUGCAUUAGGCUCCCGCCUAUGAAAAAGUUCUCCUCAAACCUACAGCUCUGUUGUCAGUGGUUUCUGUUUCACUAAUUUCGAAGACUGUCAGUCCAAAAAUUCUUGCGCCGUAAACAUGUCUCCAGCUGUUUGGGAACUUGCAAGAAUAUCUUCAUGUUUUGAGCUGUGUGGCUGCGAAAUGAGAAGGGCCUUGGGCUUGAAGGUAAUUGUGUCUUUUAAAGGCCCUUGAGUUUUAGGGUGCCUGGGAUGCACUUGCUGCUUUGAGACAGGGACUCCCUAAGUCAAUGAGUUGCACCGGCUGGGCUUGAACCGGCGAUCCUCCUGCCUCAGCCUCCCAAAGUCUUGGGAUUACAGGGUUGCACUAAAGAGGGCUUUGUGCCCUGUGGUGUCUCCAGUGUAAAUGGAGCAUCAGUAGAGACCUUCCUGUCUGCCGUCUAGCUGGUGACCCUUUACUACUUCCUUCUUUGGAACUGGUAGCUCAGGUGUCCUUGCCUGGCUUUCCUGCCUCCUGCCUCCCUUGUUGGCUCCUCCGCCCCUCCAGGUUUACGCUGAGCUUCCUGAGCCACACCGCCACAGGGAGUCACCCAGGAACCUGAUCCUGGAGCCGGGCUCCACUGCGCUCUUCCUGAACCUCCAGGGAUCAGCCUGUCACCAAGUUGUCUGCCCUACUCCUCCAGCUCCUCUGGUCGGCUCCCAGCCUCCAGUUGCCCCCUUUAUUCUGGCUUUGCGGCUCAAGUGAUCUUGGGGAAGAGUGAGAGGCCUCCUAACUUCCUCACAGAAGCUUUGCAGGCUGUCCUUGGCUCCUGAGGGAGCGUUCACCCUCAUGAGGACCUGCAGCUGGGCCCACCACCCACUCUUCCGACUCACACACUCCGUGGCUGAAAGAGCCACGGAGAUGGGCGUGGUGGUAUACGCCUGUGAUCCUAGCACUGGGAGGCUGAGGCAGGAGGCUCUCAGUUCAAGGCUAGUCUGGUCUACCUGGUGAGUUCAAGGCGGGUCUGCACUGCGGAGAGAGCCUGUCUCAAACAAGUGAAUAAAUGGAGUCGCUGACGUUUCAGCCCCUCUGGGCUUGACCCUCCCCCGGUGCUCCAAGCUUCCAGUGCGGCUUCUCUGUUGCCUCUUGCCCAGGUGCCCCUGGGCUCAUCCUCCCAGAGCGUGCGGCCGCUGUGUGCCUCCUGCCUUCCUCGGCCUGGCACUGUGCAGUGAGCUGCUGAGGUGGAAGCGCAGGUGUUUCUGCACAGGGCAGCCCCGCCCGAGAAGGUUUGUUCAUUCAGGACGCCUGGCUUUAGUCUGCUGCCGUGCACCCAGCAAGUUCCCAGCUCCGCCCCCGCCUGCGCCCUGCCUUCCCUUCCACCUCCCCUUCCCUCGCUCUGUCCUAUUUGGGCGGCUGCUGUCUGCCCCGUUACCCAACUGUCGCCCGGUCCCAUCCUCGCCAGCGCUGCUCUGAUCCCCGCCCCCAACUCUGUUCGGUCUGUGCUGCUCAGUUUCACCUUUGACCCCCCCUCCACUUUUUGUGGUACCAGGGAUUGAACUCGGGUCCUUCCGCUUGGGAGACAGGCUCCGGAACCACUGAGAUAAAUCCCCAGCCCCCCACUUUUGAGAAGCGUCUUGCUCUGUAAUGUAAGCUGGCUUGAACUCGCUGUGUAGGCCAGCUGGCCUUGAACUUGUGGUGACCCUCUCGCCUCGGCCUCCCAGGUGCUGUGAUCACCAAGCCCUGGAUCUGACCCAUUUUUACGGUUGGGAUCAGCUUGCCCUGUGGCUGGGUGUGACCCUCCCAUGGUUCCCAGAGACACCCAGCCGACACCCCAGAGCUGUAUGCCCAGUGCUUCUGGGGAUAGCUUUGCUCCACCCCAGGGCACCCCCCAGCUUCACCUCCUCUCUGCUUCCCGUCAGACUGUGGGGUGCGUUAUUCCUCCAAGGACCCACUCAGGGCCGCUCCCUCUGAGGCUCAGCUGCACCCCAAUCACGCCUGUGCUGCUCCUCUGGUUGCUUUAGGCCAAGGUCUCCCGGGUUCACGUGCCCUGUGGUACCAAGGCCGAGUAGCCAGGGCUCUAGCCCGUGGCUAGGGUGCGUCCUGGGCCAGCCGCCUCCGCUGACUCUGUUCCCUCAGGAACUGUGUUCUGCCGGCCUCCGACGCUGUGAGAUUCCUCAUACUGCGAACCUCUCCCUGCAGUGCUGGUGCUGAACAGAGCCUUCCUUUUCGGUGGAGGAGGUCGGUGUGGGGUUCCCAGCCAGCCUCCCUGGACGCCAGCGUUUCUCCAACUCUGCCCCAGACAGUCCCGAACACCUACCCAGAGAUCUAAGUUGUCUGCCCUGAGCGUGACCCUUUCAGUAUCCAGCCUGGGCCGAUGGCGACCGCUUCACCACGCUUCAAACAGGAGUUUAUUCGCUCGUGGUUGUGCAGGCCAGAAGUCUGGAUCCACAGCACCGGGCUGAAGUGAAGAGGCUGGCAGGGCGGGGCUGCCUGGAGGCCCCAGGACUAAGCCAGCGCAGGCACUCGGGCGGCCUGGGUCUGCAGGGGCCUCUCGGCUGCUGUCGGACCAGGUGGUUCAUGAAAGGAACAAAAUGAGAAGGAGAAAACGCUUUCCGGACCUGCAGGAGCGGGGCUGUCACAGCGGCACCGUCUCCUGGCUGUCCCCGAGCCUGCUCGUUCCCUGGCCUCGCUGUCCGCCUGGUCCUUCUUAGCUCUGACCUCGGGCUCCUGCUUGGCUGUCGAGGCCUGGUUGCCCAGACUCCCCCUUGGGCCCAGGGCCUCUCCAGCUGCCUGCUGUCCUUGACUCUACUUGCCUGUCAGUGAGAGAGAUGUGGUAAACGCCAUGAGACCAAAUGCUCGCUCGGGACUGUGAAGCAGAGGCAGGGAGGUCUCUCCCAGGGCCUCAGACAAGGAGAGGCUGAGGCCACCAGGACGAUGCCAGGGCUUGGUCCUAGCAGGUCGUGCUCGGGCUUCCCCCAGUAACCCCUGUCCAUGCAGUAGCCACAAACACGGGGUCCAGUGCCAUCCCUGACGAAGGCAGCGACGACCCAUCCCUGGGUGGGCAGAGGGAGCCGACAGUCGCCGCUCUGCGUGUGAGGCUGAGAGCGCAGCCCCUGGGAGAUGGUGAGGACCGCAGAGCACAUUCACGCCACGGACUUUUCCAGCCGGGCUUUGUGUCUGUCAUGGCAUUCAGGACCCCAGAGAGCACCUGCCCAGCCUGGACCCCCGCUCCCUGAGGCGCCGCAAACACAGCACGCCUUCGUGAUGACAUCAGGAAUCUUUCAUGGCGCUUGCAAGGGAGAAUAAAUCUGAAGAGGAAAUCAGAGCAGCAACAAUUGCCUGAGAUGCGACAACCCUGAGGCUGCGUAGUUCCCAGCCAAGCGACCUUGAGCGCCACCUGGAAGGGCGUUGUGAUGCCUGGAGAGGAGACCACCAGGCCCGCAGGCCCGUAGGAAGGGCCUAGCUGGGGUAAGCGGCUCCGUCUUGUUCCACCCUUUUUUCCUGUCUCCUGCCCGAUGCGCAGCCACACCAUGGAGGCGGCUGACCACGGACCAAGUCUCCAGUACCCUCCCCUCCCCUCCCCUUUCCGGUCUCUUCUCUCGAGGAUUUUGUUUCAGAGACGAAAACUGCCGGUGAGAAUGCUGAGAAAAUGAGCGCAGCCCACGGCCCGCGCCACCCUCCUCUGACCCCGGCCUGGUGGGGUGAGCAAGGCGACCCUGUGGACACAGACGCUCCCCUAUCCUGUGCUCGUGCAGUGCUGUCCGUGUCGCCGAUGGGACCGGUGCCUUCCACGCGGGUGUGCUCGGUGGACACGGGGAUGGCUCUCCUCCCUGCUCUUCGCCAGACGUCUUCUAGCUGUGCAGUGUAAACCCAGCUCUCCCUCACACUGCGGGAUGGGCCAGAGUCCCUCCCAUGGCUGAGGCCCGCACGGUGUUUUUAGCCUGUGUUCACACUGGCUCCUUCCUGUCUUUGGGCCUGAGGAGCGCUGUGAAAUCUCUACUUUCCACCUGCUCUCUGCGCUCACCGCCCGGGAGCCCAGGACACAGUGCUCAGCUGUCCCUUGCGGUCUGAGACAGGUACAGGGAGAUUCCUCCCAAAGUGCAUGAACGCAGGUCCGCUCCAAGGGCAGAGAGAGUCCUUUGCAUACUUGUCACAGCCCAGGCUCGAGUUCCUGUUUGCCCUGCCUGGAGGUCGGGAUGACGAGGACACGGCCUCUGACAGAGCUCGAGUCACAGCAUGGGCUUAGGGCUGGCAGCGGAACUGUCCCUGGUGUGAGGGAGGCCGCAGGUCUGGAGAGCACGGAGCUCCAAGGACUCGGCUCCAGUCACUCACUGCCGCUGAGGAGCCACCAGGCCCUGCAUGUGUCCUCCACAGCCCCUCAUGACUCGGCACCUCUGCAGCCACAGGUGCCCCCCAAGUCACAGAGCGUAAAGCAUUCUCCUCUGUCCUCUAGCGUGGUCUCUGGCCUUUCCUCCCUGAAUUGUACAACACAGGCAAGGGUUUCGCAUUUUGGUGCCACCAGCCUGGAGGAUCCACGUCUCCAGCUACAUUUCCACAAGGACACCAACAGGACUAGUGUAACCACGUGCACCAGCGGCUCCUUUCCCUCAAGGAAGCAGAAGGUCAAGACCGUUCCUGAGCUCGUGUCAGGACGAGUGGUCCAAGACAGAGCCGCCAGCAGAUAUAAGACAAGGCACACUCCCUAAAACGGUCCGUGUGUUUAAGGAACACCAGAGCCCAGUUACAUUAGCCUUCUCAUCCCAGAGACACAAUACAAUACCCGCAAUUUAAAGGUGGAGAGAUUUCAUUUGCUUGUGGAUCAGUCCACGGUUGUGGGCCCAAGGCCAUGCCAGGCAGCCUGCUCCACCCACCCCUGUUGAUUGCAAAGACGAUCAAGUUGAACUGCACCCUCCCAGGGUGCUGGCAUUGCUGUCCCCAGGUGGGCGUUCCUGGGUCCCGAACAGAGGACUGGACAGGACACACAGAAAAGGCAGCGACAGGGAACAUUACUGAAGUUGGAAAAGGGUCCCCGGGAGCACUGUGAUCCCUGUGCACUGUGGAUGUGCUUCUGCCCUGUUGUGCCGGGCUGCCACAGCCCCCAAAGCCACAGGCCAACGGACCCUGAAGAGAAAUCCGCAACUGGGAGCCAGCAAUCGCCCCUGAAACCAAUUUUUCUCAAACAUCGGAGGGCACAGGGAUGACCCGGAGGGAUCAAGACCUCGGGUCCUGACCCAGCAGUGCCUCUUGCCGCCUGCCAGGUGAGCCUGCUGUCCUGGCUGGAUGUGCUGGAGGAGCCAGGUGUCUGCAUUGGCUCACGCUGUGCUCCCAGGUGCCAGAGCCAUGUCUCCACAGCCUCUGCGGUCAGCAAGGAGCCACAGCCUCCCAGGCCUGGUGACACAGGAUGUGGAAAUGCCCCAAGAUCACAUUCAUGAGAUGCUAGGCAGUCGUUUGUUAUUUAAAGGCUUGAAAUCUCCAAAUCUCUUGGAGGACUCAGUGGGCAAAUCUACAAAGCAAGCCUGAGGUGCUGACGGCCGCAAGCAGCCCCUCCUGGGAGCAGGUGGAGGUGGCGACUGCGUCCAGGUGUGCUCUGCAUGAGGAGACAUCACCCCGGCACCUGCGUCCGCAUGGCUGAGAAGGCGGAGCCAGGGCUCCAGUCCAGAACCUGGUUUUAGAGGCUGCUUUUGUGUUAAAGGGCAGAUUUCUGGCCUCACUUCUCUGGGUGAAAAUUUGGUAACAAGUUUUGUCCCGACUCGGAAGGAGCAAAGACUUGCCACUGAAUGCAGGGUGCGAGAUGCCGGGUUUCCACUCGAUCAGCCCAUCCUUCCCACUGAAUGAUAAUUCUUUGUCCUGGUGAUGUCGGUCACCCCUCAAAGUCCUUUUGUGGCGUGACUUUAUCUCUCAGGGCCUGUGCCUUGCAGAUAAGGGUGCAGAGAGGCGGCCACAGGCUUGAUGGCUCUCGGCCACACAGCUCGGGCCCUGAGCCGGGAACAGGGUCAAGAACACAGCACCCUGACUAGCUUUCUGGCUGCCUCCGACAUCUCUCACCCCUGGAGGCCAGCUGUGAACCACAAGCAAAGCUUGCUUCUCGUGUGAGACAAAAUGAAAAAUAUAAAGGAAACAAAAAGCAGUAGUAUUUAUUACACCUGCAGUCAAAAGCAGAAAUGUCAGGUGUCUACGGAUUGGUGGGACAGACUGGAAAAGUAAGUCCCCACUGACUGGGUCGCACGUUUCAUUUUUCC